AGACUUGGGCGAUCGAUCGUGGGUUGCCAGGGGUGUUCGUGGAUUGGAUGGGCAUUCUUUUACUGUCCUCGUUUGCACCCACCAGUGAAAAUAUCUCCGCUCUUGCCUUCUCUCCUGUGCUCUCUCCUCCCCCGAUCCCCUCCUUCCCUACCGUCAUGCCGCCGGCUCCAUGCAGCGGCCGACGCGGCCUUCUCUCCCCGGCGCUCGAGGUGCAGGUCACCGGCAUCACUCGCCGCGUGCCGUGGUUCUGGAUCGGGCGCAGAUCUUUGCGCUCCCACCUCUCCUCCUCCUCUCCCUCUCUCUCCCAUGCCGCCAUCGUUGCAAGGAGCAGGGGACAUAGGUGCCAAGGACAGGAAGCAACGGGUUGGUCGCGGUGGGCUUGAGCUGCUGGGGAGAUGGAGGAGGCCGUCGUGGUUCGUCAUGGAGGCGGCGCCGCCAGCAAGCUGGUUGAGGUACGUGUCAGAUCUGUUAGUCCUUCAUGGUUGUAGUUCGUUCUCCUCACAGACCAUGUGUUUCUCCUUUCCUCCCUCAAUGUGCCGGGGAAUACAUCGUUGCUACCUAUAUUACUGGCUUGCAAGCUUUAAGAGGGAGAUUUUAAUAUGUUGGUCAUUCACAUCUCUGGCCAUGUGUGAUGAUUUUUUUUUGUUAAUGGCUAAUGAUUUAUUUCAGAGAACCAAAUCUGUACCAUGCCGCCUCACCCUCUCAGGUAAUUGUUUCACCCCUUUUGAUAGUAUUUUAGGUAUGUCCUUGUUGUUCUUCCCUAAGAGCUGCAAUUUUCUACCCUAUUUGUUUACUGCUUAUUAUCGUGCUAAUUCCUUUGUAUUCCUGUUUUUCCGGGUGUCGUGUUUGUGUGUUUGUUUUUGUGGUGCUGCUUAUACGUGUGACUACCGUAUGAUUGUAUAUAUAUGCUGAAAAGUAAAACAAUUUUUCCUUGGCACAAUAUAUAAUUUGCAAUGAGAUGGUAGUACAUCAGUGUAUUUACAGGAAAAAACAAUGGUCGUAUAUAUGCUGAAAAGAAUUAAGCCUGAAAAGAACAUUCAUCUACUAUUUCUUGAUGUAUGCUAUCGUAUAUUACAUCCCCCCAAAUGACGAAAAUGAAGUUCAGGGGCAUGUUUUUUUAUAUAUGCUUGACUUAACUGGAGCUUAAAAUUUGUCAUUUGUUUAAGUACCAAUCUGAUUUAUUCUUGACUCUUGAUUGCUGCUACUGGAACUGAGGGAUGUUGACACGUGUAACAAAAUAGUUGAAAGAUUUCAUACCGACGAGGCUCUUGAGACUACAAACAUUUCUUCACUCCUUAUACCAAAAGAUUCUAGGACUAAGUUAUAUGAUUUUAUAAUUUAGUCUGAUUUUCCUUCUGUUAAUAUGUGCUCCUGUGCAAUUUUUCAUAGGCUUCUUUUUCUUUUUUCUGGUUACGAUAUUACAAAGCUGAGCAAUAGUUUCUCUACUAAUAUAGCUUGCGUGAAAAACAUCCGUCUUUGGGAUGCUUUUGCGGCGUGUGUAACUGCCUCACAUUAGCCUAUGCUUCUAUCCGAGUUGCUUACUACUAAGACCAUAAUAGAUCAUGCUUUUAAAAGGUAGUCAUUCAUUCCAGGAAAGUGAAAGCUUGGGUGUAGCUACCAAAGUUCCAUUGAAGAAAAUGAUAAUGUACUUAUAAUGCAUUUCACUUGAUUGAAACAGUUUACUCAUUUGUUGCAUGCCACGCCAACAUUUUAUUCCUGUAGGUAAAAAUAAGAAAAUGAGUGGUGAUGUGUGUCACCCCAGUUAGUUUUUCCCCAGAUUUCUUUGAUAUACUGAAAUGCUUAUAUUCAUUACUUUGUGCGACUUUGAAGGAAGGUGCGAUCUCCAGCCUGAAGGACUGGCUGAUUGAUUCAGCUAUAGGAAGCAAUCCUGUUCCGCGAUUGAUUGCUGGAAUCAUAUUUAUGCAAGAGCAAGACUACACACGAGGCUGUCAAGCACACACAUACCAAAGGAACUCUGGACAUGUCCAAGAUAGAAUCCAGGUUCAAUGUUUUGAUCAUACAAGGCAACUAUAUGGGUUAUAAUGAAAUAGACAAAAGUACCAUUUAUCCACAAGAUUGAUCCAUUCAUAUGGGGCAGCGUCAGAUGCUCUCUGCGGAUCAAUCAAUGGUAAAUAAAGGCAUAUUGUAUUUUCUUUCAAAAAAAUCAUCGAGGAAACAUAUAGAGCUUUAUGUUCGAUUAUGUUCACACCCCUGAACCCAAACCCUAAGCCGAAUCAGGCGAGCUCUCAUUGCCGGAUCGCUGGCCAAUCGUCCGGUUGGCCUCCACGUCAGUUCCGCACCGCUGCCAACGACCGCCGUGCAUUGGAUUCGGGUGUGGCGUUGGCUGGGAACCGUACGGUGUUUGUCUGACAUGCCGUCCGCACUGGGGGUUGGUCGGUCGACUCCAGGUAUGAGCAGCUCCUGAGCUUGAUGGCUGGAUGUGUGCACACAUGUAAUGGGGCAUCAUGGUCAUGUUGCUUGGUGUGCAGAGAUAACCUCAUUUUGGACCAAAAAGAGGGGCAAUGACUCUGACAACAGGCUGAAACAAUCAUGUCUUGAGCAAUCAAGACAGCCUUGGCUUGUGGGACUAAACAGAGCUGAAAAAGUCGGUGUCAGCGUUGGACUUGCCCUUAGAGCCUACCCUUACCUCUGUUGUAGCCUGCUCAAUAUUGUCACUGAUGUUGGAUGAUUUGUUCUUUGGACGGUCGUUCUGAUGAGUGAUAACCAGGGCAGUUCUCUUACACUGUGAUGGUAGGUUAUGGACCAAGAGAUGUGGGUGUUGGCUUUGAAGAUGAAUGACAUAUUAACUGAUAGACUGCCAUCAAAUGAAGUACGGUACAAAUUGUACUACUUCGUUCGAUCCAUAUUAACUGACCCACACUUAGUACAAUCAAAUGAUGAAAUCAUGUUUGAUAAUGAUGAGACAUUCAGCAAUGACUACCUAAUACCAGUGCCUUCAUGUCUUGGUCUUUCCAUCUGGCAGUAGAUACAAGACUCGUCCCUCGGCCUAGCGUUAAAAUACUAAGCAAGUUAGUUAAGUUGAGCAUUAUUGAUCGACCUGAUAUAUGUUUUUUCCGUUCUAAGGCAGAAAAUUGGCGUCGGAGAAGUAUAGCAGAUCAUAAAAACUAUUAGGUCAUUUUAUUUUAAAUGCCAUUUUACUGCGACGCGAAUUUUGAGGACAUGCGGCCACGUGAGAUCGUUAUCUUGUGCGUCCGCAGCGCGUCGUGAUCAGCAGCUAAUAUAGCAUCUCCUGCCCACACGCAAAUACCGCACAGUGUUUUCCUUUUUCACAACGGGGAUACGUCCACUAUACGCUCUCGCAUGUGGGCCAACACACAUUUAUUUGCGUACGAAUACAGCCUUGUCCGUUAGCGACUCGACACACUGGGACGGCCGUUCGGUGGUGUGGUCAUAAAUGCCCUGAUGUUUGGUGCACCAUCAUUUAGCAAGCGGGUGAACCGUCCCUCGAUCUGUAGCACUGUACAUCUUCUUGAAGCCUCGAGCUGGUGGAGGCGCAAUGGGGGAAGAUGGCAUGGCUUCAGCAGAAACAGAGAAAUCUAGGUCAACUACACCGAAAGCAAACUAAAAGAUUACAUGACCCAGAUUAUGAUACACUCAACGUCAGGCUUGCAAACAGUGUUCUACACGCCAAUUGUCGCAUCAUGCUAGGAACCGACAAGAGAGCCACGGUAACAACCAACUGGUCUAAGUUCCGCCGUCUUGCAAAAAUUCAUGAAGGAGACAUCUGUGCAUUUCGUUUCAAGGUCACCACAAAGCAGUGCCUGGUUCUCAUCAUGCAUUGCCUUUAGAUGAACCAUCGACAGCAAUGGAAGUCGUAUCUAAGUAUCAUCUAGCAUUCUAAAGACUACUAGACAAGCUCUGUAAUAGGAUGAAACCUUCCUCUGUUUUUCGACGAUGCUAUUUGUUACUUUUGAACAGCUACCACCUAUGAUUUUACCUAUAUAACCUUUGCUGUUGUUCCUCAUUGAUCUAUGAAUA